UUCCAAAAUUUUUUAAUUCCCUGACUCACGCAAUUAAAAUCAAUUGUUGAACCCACUAACCCUAAAAAAAUCCUUCUGUCCAAUUUUCCUCCACCCAUCGGCGUUGAAACAAUGCUCCAGCCACCGCCGUCCAAAUGCCGCAAUAAGCCAACGCCGUCGAACCCACAAAUCUAGCCACUGCCGUCCAUCAAAUCUUGGGUCGCAACGCCGUUGAACCGAGAAAUCUAGCCAUGGUCAUGUCUCCUUUUCUCCAUAUCCGAUGAAGACGUAUUUGAAGACAAGCCUCUGAAACACCUCUCUUUAACCAAUCCAAUGCAUGAGAAGACGAUCUUCUUGUCCAACAUCCAUUUGGUUGUGGCCUUCAUCUUCGAAAUUGUUUACUUCUUCAACAACGGUACAAUAACGAUGAUCUCAAGGAUUGUGAAGAUAAAGCAUUGGUGAUUCUCUUGAUUUCGUACUAUUUCUUAGUCAGUCGACUUUAGACAAACUAGAAGAACGGUCAGAUGGAGCGUUUUGUUUGUGAAUUCGAAAUCGAAGGUGAUGAUGAAUGAACUCCCUAGCAUAACAUAUAUGCUAUGCUACGGCAGGGGGCUGGAACUGGGUUUCCAACACGAGGUUGAGAAUGCGGAGUAUUGGAACUAAAAACCGUCGUGUGCUAGCUAGUUCCAUUGAGGUCGACAAUAAGGUUCAUGAAUUUACAAUUUUUGAUCGAUCACAUCCAAAAUCUGAUAAUAUAUAUCAGGUGAUUAAUGGAUAGCUUCAUCAACUUAAACAAGUUGAGUGCUUUUAAAACAUGUGUUAACAAAGUUUGUGGUAGGUAUAGAAUUGUAGUAGACCGCUACUUAGAGAUGUGACGUGAUCUUGUAAUGUGACAAGAAUGUGUGGUUGAAACAUGACGAGACAUGUUUAAUAGUAAAGACUAAUAUGUUGGAGGUUUUAAUGGAGAGGCGUAGUCAAGCUGGCAUGCAUGACUGCAUAACUAAACUGGUUCGGAUUCUAUUCUUAAUUUCUUACUAAUUUUUAUUGUUAACAAGUUGAUGAAAUAACUGUUAGAAUUAAGGCGGUGGUGUCUGUUUACAUAGAGUAAAUCCUAAAAAACAGAGAGACAAGGUGUGCAUUGGCUGUGGUGCUGGUUUUGGAGGCGAUAGGCCAAUUGCAGCUCUUAAAUUGCUUCAGAGGGUCGAAAACCUAAACUAUCUUAUACUUGAAUGCCUAGCAGAAUGCACUCUUGCAGAUCGCUAUCAAGUUAUGUUGUCUAGUGGUGAUAGUUACGAUUCAAGGAGUAUGCCAUUGUUUAAUAAUCAUAUUUAGCCUACAAUUUUUCUAUCAGUUAUAUUUUUAUCAAUUCUUUCUCAAAUUCAUACUUCUUGAACGUUCUUAAAAUUGUUGAGAUGGUAGUUUGUUAUGAAGCUAGCAAAAGGUUCCUUAGAUUUGUUAGAAGUAUAUUAGUAUUUCUAAAAACAUUGAACUCAUACUGGUUAUGUUGAAAUGGCUUGUUGAUUUUUUGGGUUAAGUUAUGUGUAGGUGUCUUUUGUAUAGAAAUGUUUUAGUUCACCGGUUUGUGACUAAAUAGAAGAAAUUUGUAGAGGGAAUUUUUAGUAAACAAAUUAGAUUUUUUUGUUUCUGCACUCUGUGGCCUGAAGUAGUUUUUAAGACUUAGAAAUCCCAUUUUUAUGUUUCUAAUUUGAACCAUCCAUGAACACGUUGGUAUGUUAAGUUUCUAAUCAUGAGAGGAAUGGAAUAUUAUGAUAUUAGGGUUUCUUGAUUCUAAUCCUAAUGUUAUUUGGAUGUGAAGAAGAAAGUGUUAGGGCUCAUAAUGUGUGUAUCUUAUUCCUAAAAGUCGAUUCUUUCUUAGGCAGGCCAAGUGAUUUUAAAUGGUGGCAAGUCGAUGUUUAUGCUGUGGGAGAGGGUAGCGAGCCGACGGUUUGGGCAAUUACUCUUUUCAUCAUUUUUGUACUCCAUUGUUUAUGAUUGCCUUUGUAUGUUGGUAAAAUUUUAUUUUUACUUUUAGUCCAGAUUUUAUGAACAUUAAAUAACUUGCUAAUGUAGUUAGUUUUGCUCAUAGUCUACUAUUUAAUACUUCAUGGUUUUUUUUUUCAUCAUUUUUGUACUCCAUUGUUUAUGAUUGCCUUUGUAUGUUGGUAAAAUUUUAUUUUUACUUUUAGUCCAGAUUUUAUGAACAUUAAAUAACUUGCUAAUGUAGUUAGUUUUGCUCAUAGUCUACUAUUUAAUACUUCAUGGUUUUUUUUUUUCAUCAUUUUUGUACUCCAUUGUUUAUGAUUGCCUUUGUAUGUUGGUAAAAUUUUAUUUUUACUUUUAGUCCAGAUUUUAUGAACAUUAAAUAACUUGCUAAUGUAGUUAGUUUUGCUCAUAGUCUACUAUUUAAUACUUCAUGGUUUCAGAAAAAUUGCAUGUCUAGACGUUCAGGCAUCGAAUUUGAAUCGACUUGUAUACUCAUGCUAUUACACAUUUGUAACUGCCCAUUAAAAAAAAUUCUCCUGUCAAAUUUUGUCAGAUUCUCAUCAUGAAUUCAAGUCUAAUUGCAUAAAUUUUUUCUUAUAAAAGAUCUGGAGCUUCACAUUGAAGAUUGGUCUAAAUAUAGUUCACCAAAUGAUGACCUGAACUUUGUCAGGUUGUAUUUCCUCUUUUCACAUGGCUAAUGCAUUACCAUUUUCAUUUCAGUAGUAAUUAUUCUCAAGUUCUCCACUUUAUAUGAUGAGCAUUUCAGUAGUAAUACCAUUUUCAUUUCAGUAGUAAUUAUCCAAUAUUUGAUAUAUGAAUUAGAUUUGCUUUUGUUAGUAAUUCGUAUCCUAAUUGAUUCUGAGCUAGAUUUGAACUUGAACUAGGUCUUUGACAAUUUCCUGCACAAUCAAUGAUGGGAUUAUGUGUAAAUCCGAUAUUUUCUUUGGAUUUAUUUUUUUAAAUAUGAAAGGAAUAAAAGAAAAAUGGAAAUUAGGUACAUAAUUUUUUUUAUAUAUAAUUAAUGGUUUUUAUAAAAAGAAAAAAAAAAGAGAGAGAAAAGAAAAGAUAUAAAGUAAGAAAAAAGAAUAGAGAGGAGAAAUUCAAUUUUCCUUUUUCUUCUCUUUCCCUUCACCGCCAAGCUUCUUUCAUUCCAUUCUUCACCAUUUUUUCUCACCAUUUCUUCACCAAAUUUAAGUGGGGUUUCAAGAGUAGAAGGGGCUGAGAAAGGAAGAAGAAGAAUUUCAAAAUUUGUAUGUUGAAGAAGAUAAGGAGUUUGUAAGACAAAGUUCUCUAUAAUUCAUUAAGCACAUCUCUGGUUUUUUAUUGAUGUCGAGCUAUACAAAAAGAAUUAAUAAGUGAGGUUUAAAUUUACUAAAAGCUAAUUCAUUUUUGAAUAAAUUUUAUGAAGAAAACUUGAGAAAAUUCUGAUGUUCAUUGGGUGAAUUUUGAUAGAGAAGACAGGGCAGGUUGUUUUCACACGAAAAUAAGAGAUCUCAGGUUUUAUUAGUAUUUCAGGAUGUACCGGUAGAGUUAAGAUCUCUAUUUGGUAUAGUUAGAAAGCGUAUUUAAUUUACUACAACUUUCAUGAAGAAAUCGCGAACCAAAGACAACUGAAAAUAAGUUAAAUUAUAGGGACAAAUUAAAGGGGUCGUGGUGUACGCGAUUGUUGGAGUGGUUCUGUUUCGAGGGAUGUCUGAGAUUAUACAUAGGGAAUCAAAUUCACAUGUCUGGAGGUAAGUUAUAGAGGACCUCAAAAUGAAGAUUUUGACGUAAAGAACUCUCAUUUUGGUUAAGUAUUGGAAGAGUUAUGAUCAUUUGAAUUUCAUGCUGCGAAUCUGGAAAAUUUUGAGAAAUGUGUGAAAUAUGGUUUUAUUUCUUAAAGUUAGACUUCUUAAGCAUCAUCUUUAGUGAGCCAUGCCAAGCAUAACAUUUGAAGAUCAUAAUAUUUAGGUUUCCAAUACUCGGUUUUAGUUGUUUGACAGGCCAAGAGGAAAUAGGUCGGGUUUACACACCGGGGAACUAGUCUAAGACUGUUACGUUUCGUUGUUGACGUUGAAUGUACUCCGUGACAACGAUACUAUCGUGAGUGCUGGUCGAGUCCCACUACGACAAAGACAAUGGGAGUGUUGGGCGAGCCCCACUACAUCGUAGAACUAUUAAACGUUGGUUGUACUGGAUAUACCCAACACAAUGUAAUGAAGUCAUGUUAGUUAAAUAGUUUAUAAACAGGAAAUGUCUUGCUAGAUUUUAUAGAUAUACAUAUUGAAUGUUUGAAUGAGCUGUUUUAUGAAAAUAUUUACAGUUAACUCUUUGCUUGUUA